CUUCCACCACAAACUCUUGACCUCUGUAUUUUCUCUUGUCAGUAGUUUGCAGUUACUUUGGUGUGUGGGCAAUAAGAUUAGGGUGGUGUUGGUUGAUAAUUAUUAUCCUCACUCCCCUGCUAUCAUGGUGGGAUGAGCCCUUCUUCAUUUAAAUGGAUACAAUAAUUGAUUUUAAGGAGUCAUCCCCAACCCGAAGGUGAUGAUAUGAAAUGUGACCUUUAGCGAGGGCUCUGUCGGUGUGCGGGCUCAUAAGCAGGUCCAGCUGAGCAGUAUUUUAACCUGACUCUACAAGUUAAUAAAAACUGCUGGCAAAAGCACUUGAACUGCAUGCAGUGACUGCUGGGACACGAGGGGAAAGCUGUCGAUAUGAAGAGGAUGGCGCACUGACCAGGCUCCUGAUUACAGGAAGAGUGGGAAAUGACUUAUGCAAUUUGAUGCAUCACUUGUGUGUAAUUCGCAGUAAGAGAUUUGUCAUGUUUGUUGCAAAAGCUGAGAUGUGUGUUAAACAUUGCGAUCUCCAAAAUCAACAUUGACACUUUUCCAAAGACAGAUUUUGUUUUGCUUAAACAGAAAAACGAGUCUUAAAAAAAGUGGUGAACUGCGUGUGAUCUUUCCAUCUUUCUUCCACACACGUUAUCAAAUCAAAUGUAAAUUGUAGUUUUGAGGCAUAUAGGGUAUUACGGUAUAAAAAGCCAUUAUAUUCCAGUGACCGAAUCCUGCAUGGACGGUUAAUUCUGGCCCUGGACUAACGAGCCAAACCGUAAUUGCAUCACUACAACUUCACACCCGUUGACCUUCGGUGGAGUAUAUAAAACCGGCACCUUCUGUUAUUCGGUCGGAUAGUCUAGAAAGCAUCCGUUCGAUAGGAUCGGAGCCUUUUGACACGUCCAUGGGUGGUAGCAGAUGGGUUCUUGGACAGGCUAUACGUCCAGUCUUUGGAUUGACAAUGAAUUGGAGGAAUCCUAAGCGAAGAUGAGAAGAAUGCAUCACGUACACGGCAC